rnacentral:rRNA from 1 species
AUGAUUAAGGAAGAAGAUUGUUCUUUUACCAAACAAAUGCAGAUCAAACACCUCAUCAUCAAAAGAAAAUUUUCUCAGUAUCAAUCCCCUUGCCCCUCAUUCUUUGAGAAUGAGAAGGAUCCUUUUCGAGUUUUCAUUUCUUCAUUUGGAAUCUAG